rnacentral:rRNA from 1 species
CCUANGGGGGGCUGCAGUCGAGAAUCUUUCGCAAUGGGGGAAACCCUGACGACGCGACGCCGCGUGGAGGAUGAAGGCCUUCGGGUUGUAAACUCCUGUCAGCAGGGGAGAACAAGCUUUUGGUGAAUAACUGAGAGCUUUGACAGUACCUGCAGAGGAAGCCACGGCUAACUCUGUGCCAGCAGCCGCGGUAAUACAGAGGUGGCAAGCGUUGUUCGGAUUUAUUGGGCGUAAAGGGUCCGUAGGCGGCCUGAAAAGUCGGAUGUGAAAUCCCACAGCUUAACUGUGGAACUGCAUUCGAAACUUCUAGGCUCGAGUGUGAUAGGGGUAAAGGGAAUUCCCGGUGUAAGGGUGAAAUCUGCAGAGAUCGGGAGGAACACCAGUCGCGAAGGCGCUUUACUGGAUCACUACUGACGCUGAGGGACGAAAGCCAGGGGAGCAAACGGGAUUAGAUACCCCGNUANUC